AUGAUGAUUUUUACUUGUUUAAGCUAUAAAAAAAUCUUACUUGUUUUAUCGAGAAUGUUCUUAUAACAAUAUGCCUGCAAAUGACUAUCAUGUUUUGGAGCUCAUUGGAGAAGGUUCCUUUGGAAAAGUUUAUAAAGGUCGUAAAAAGUAUACUGGACAGGUUGUUGCCAUGAAAUUUAUUCCAAAAAAUAAUCGCUCACAAAAAGAACUGCGCAAUUUACAAAGAGAAAUUGAAAUCAUGCAACACCUUAAACAUAAACAUAUUGUGGCAUUAUUGGAUUCUUUUGAAACAGAAAAAGAGGUAUGUGUUGUCAUAGAAUAUGCUGAAGGUGAGCUGUUUCAAGUGCUUGAGGAUGAUAACAAGAUAUCAGAAGAACAAAUACAAGUUAUAGCUGCUCAACUUUGUGAAGCUCUUUACUAUUUGCAUUCUAACCGUAUUUUGCAUCGUGAUAUGAAACCACAAAAUAUAUUAUUAACAAAAAGUGGUGAUGUAAAGCUGUGUGAUUUUGGAUUUGCAAGAGCAAUGAGUUUUCAAACACUUGUUUUGACUUCCAUCAAGGGUACUCCAUUAUACAUGUCUCCUGAAUUAGUUGAAGAAAAACCAUAUGACCAUACAUCUGAUUUAUGGUCAUUGGGAUGCAUAUUAUAUGAGCUCUAUGUCGGUAGUCCACCAUUUUAUACAAAUAGUAUAUUUCAACUUGUCAGUCUUAUAAGGAAAGAUCCAAUUAAAUGGCCCAACGAUAUUAGCUAUGAUUUUAAGAAUUUUUUGCAAGGUCUUCUUACAAAAGAUCCCAGGGAAAGGCUGUCUUGGCCUAAUUUAUUGACUCAUGCGUUUAUCAAAGACUUUAUCAAUGUUGACUCGUUGGGAAAUAAAAAAUUUGAUGACAAGACCGCUGUUGAUGUUGCCAGAGCAAUGAAGGUUGAACAAAAAGGUGAUGGCCCAACCUGGGUAGAUCGCCUUCAAAAGCAUCAGCAAAAGAAAAGACAGUUUUUACCUAAGUUGAAGGAAGAUGAACUAGUUGAGACUCCAGGAGACAGAUUGAAAAAUAGAAUUUUAAAAAAGUCCAAUUCUGCAUCACAAGUUGCUAUAUCUUCAAACAAUGAGUGGGGAAUAAGUGUUGACUUUAGGAGAGAAGCUGAAAAUGAUAGAUUAUUAGCAAACUAUAGUUCCAAAAAGACUAGCAAAAAAGACACAAGAGAAGAAAAUAUUGAUAGUGAUGAUGAGUGGAAUAAUUUGCUUGAACAAACAAGUGCAUUUAAGUCAACUAAUAAUAUUAAUGAUUUACAAGCAGUAUUGUUAAGUCUGGAUGUGUGCUCAGCUCUUAAAGAAGCUCUUACAAAAUCACUCACAAAAAUUAAAUCUAAAACUUUGGAAGGUGCCUCCAGAUUGCGACUUCUAUUACGAAUAAUUUGCAAUUGCUUAGAUUCUAAAGUUGAUAAAGUACAAAAAUAUGUUUUUAUUAAUUCUGUUGACCUUUGUUCAAUUUUGAUAGAAGGUGUUAAGUAUUUUUCACAAUGUACAGACAUGAAUGAAGUAUGGUAUUUUUCGUGUUAUCAAGAUUUGUUAGAAAUUUUGUUACUGCUUGCUUCUAUUUGUAAUGUAGAAAUGCUACAAACACUUUUAAAAAUAUUUUCAUUAGCAGAUUAUUGUUUAGGUUAUCCAUUUGACAAACAGCAUAAAAUUAAGUCAUUGUUUAUAUCCAUUCAAUCUAAUAUGCUUAAUUGUGUUUUAAAUAAAAACAAACCAGAUCCAACAAUAGCGCUUAUAGUGUUACAAUAUCUUACCCGUGAUGUGGUCAAUAAAAUGUUUUUUAGAUUAAAACCUCUAAUGAAAGUACCACCUUUAAUUCCUUUGAUCUAUAAGUUAAUUUUACUUGUUUUGCAAAUAGAUAAUGUGUUUCGUAAAGAUCUUCUUGACCAAAUGACAGAGGAAAAUCUAAGAUGGUUUCCAGAUCAACUUAUAAAAGAUUUUAAUGAAAAUAAAUAUCUUGAGGAUGCCACAUUAUUAUUGAGUUUACUUACUGAGUCGAGUGUUCUUGCAGAAAAUGUACUUGUGUCAUGUCCACAAAUGUUAAACUGUCAUACAUCAUCAAAAUUUGAAAGCGUGAAAUUAAGUUUAUUAAAACUGUACAUACAAGUUUUGGGCAGUACAAGUGAAGCAAAAUGCUUGCCAAGUUAUUUAUACCCUGGUUGUUUAUACCCUGAUAAAAAUGCUGAUUCCUCACAAAUCUCAUACAUAUGGAUUUUAAUGUCUAUGUCUACUGAUUUACAAAUUGAAAACAGUUUAGUUGAACAUUUGUUAACCCAUGAAUUUGACACACAGGAUGUUGCACUUCCACUAUCUCAUGGAAAGUAUGAUGGUUAUGUACUAUUACUCGAAAAAAUUGUAAACACAAAUGAAAUUAAAGUUUUUCACAAAGUAGUAUCCUUGAUAGAAUAUUUUAUAGGACAGAAUACUGAUAAUGAAAACAUUGAACCCAACAUUGAGUUGUUUGCCUGGAAUUUAUUAUCUUUUGACUGUUUAUUUUUAUUAGUUGAUUUACUGCAAAGGUUAGUAUAUAAAAGACCAAAUAGUCUUUUUGGUUUAUCAGAGAUUGCUAUACACAAUAUGUACUUUGUCUUAAGUGUAAGCUUAAGACCGGAUUAUAUAAAUAAAUGGUCUUCGCAUAGAUUUUCUAAUAAAUGUAUUUUCCUGAAAGUAAAUGUAGAUAUAUUUUAUCACAACAUAAUUAAUUUGCUUUGCAUUGUAUUUACAUUAGAUAUUGAUCUAUCUGUUAUGUAUCGUCUUUUAUGUUUAUUUCAUAAAUGCUUUUUGUUAAAGUCUUUGCUCCUGUUAAAUAAAACAUAUCCGAGUUGCUCUGGGACUUUGUCCGGCUUAAUUGCUCAUUUGGUUAUAACUGAUGAAAUGUUUGUUCCGCAACUUCAAUUACUACUAUCUGCUCAAGACACCAAUCAGGUGGUACAAGACCUUUUAGUUGCUCAAGGUGACAUUGGUGUUUUAUGUGAUCUUCUUGCCACUUUGAGUCAUAUGUCCAGACAUUCAUCUGAUUAUAUUGCUUUAAUUGUUCAACUUUUUGUAUCCAAUAAAAGUGAUUUUUCUUCAUUGUUCGAUUUGUUAAGCCAUAAAGAUUCAAAAGUUGUUGCGCGUACCUGUACUUUGAUUGGGAAUUUACUACGUCAUUCUAGUUACUUAUAUGAACCAAUUGCACGUUAUAAAUUGAUUCCUCUUCUGUUAUCAAUUCUUCAAAAUCAAGAUGCUUCUCUUAGGAAGUCUUGCUCAUUCUUGUGUGGAAAUUUGGCUUAUCACAAUGACAGCUUGUAUAGUCAGUUAUCUUUUGCGAUUCCAGUAUUUUGUCAUUUGAUGAAGGAUGGAGUUGCAAAAGUCCGUUUGAAUAUUGUACUUUUGGCAAUUUAGUUAGACAUUCGCCGGCACUUUUUCCUCUAUUGGUGGAACAUAAAGUCCCAGAUAGUUUACUAGACCUGGCAUUUAACGAUAACGAUACUAACGUUCAAGAAGUGGCUUUGUGGGCUCUUAGAUUAUAUUUUAGGAAUCCUCAAUGUAAAAAGAUUUUAUUGGCAUUAGAUAUUCAUGGCAAACUAAAUCAGUUAGUUGACCAAUCUAGUUCUGGUAGUGUAACCAUUUCACGUAUGUCAUCGUUCCGAAGUAAUAUAAGC
rnacentral:misc_RNA from 1 species